GGGCCCAUAACCCAGAGGUCGAUGGA
rnacentral:piRNA from 3 species